rnacentral:pre_miRNA from 1 species
UCUCAGGCUGUGGCCAUCUAGAGGUAAGAAGCACUUUCUGUUGUCUUAAAGAAAAGAAAGUCCUUUUUUUUUUUUUUUUUUUUUUUUUUUUGUUGAGA